rnacentral:rRNA from 1 species
GGUUGCGAUCAUACCAACACUAAUGCACCGGAUCCCAUCAGAACUCCGCAGUUAAGCGAGCUUGGGCGAGAGUAGUACUAGGAUGGGUGACCCCCUGGGAAGUCCUCGUGUUGCAACCC